UACGAAGGUGGCAAGCGUUGUUCGGAUUUACUGGGCGUACAGGGAGCGUAGGCGGUUGGGUAAGCCCUCCGUGAAAUCUACGGGCUUAGCCUGUAACGUGCAGAGGAAACUGAUGGACUUGAGUGUCGGAGAGGAUAGGGGAAUACCCGGUGUAGAGGUGAAAUUCGUAGAGAUCGGGUGGAACACCAGUGGCGAAGGCGCCUGUCUGGCUGACAACUGACGCUGAGACUCGAAAGCAUGGGGAGCAAACAGG
rnacentral:rRNA from 1 species